GCACUGCUGACGGGUCCCAAACAGGACGAAACAACUGUCAAGUGC
rfam:Echinostoma caproni strain Egypt genome assembly, scaffold: ECPE_scaffold0010722